rnacentral:ribozyme from 1 species
AGACAAGAAAGACAAGAAAGACAAGAAAGAGAAAACUAAAGAAAAAAAACAGGGUCACCACCCUUCUUCUUCGUCUUCGUCUUCGUCUUCUUCUUCUUCUUCUUC